AGGCGUAUGGACUGACUGAAUCCACAGCUCGAGUCUUUGGAACAAUGGGCCCUAAAGAAGGCCAAGUGAUGGGAGCCUCAGGAAAGCUUAUGUCUAAUUGCGAAGCAAAGAUUGUUGAUCCUGAAACUGGCAUUUCUCUCCCACCUGGCUGUGCUGGUGAGCUUUGGCUUAGAGGACCAUCCAUCAUGAAGGGUUAUGUUGGCGAUGAAGAAGCAACAGCUGCAACUUUGGAUUCUGAAGGAUGGUUGAGAACUGGAGACCUUUGUUACAUUGACAGUGAAGGCUUCCUGUUUUUUGUGGAUCGUAUUAAGGAACUAAUCAAAUACAAAGGCUACCAGGUUGCUCCAGCAGAACUCGAGCACCUGCUUCAAUCCCAUUCAGAUAUUAUUGAGACAGCUGUAAUUCCGUAUCCUGACGAGGAAGCAGGGCAUAUACCCAUGGCCUUUGUGGUACGAAAAAUUGGAAGCACCAUUGACGAAUCACUAAUCAAGGAUUUUAUAGCUCGACAGGUUGCACCCUACAAGAGAAUAAGACGAGUAGCGUUCAUUGAUUCAUUACCAAAGAAUGUCGCGGGUAAGGUGCUCAGGAAGGAGUUAAUAAAACUUGCACUAUCAAGUGCUGCCUCUAAGUUAUAAGUUCCUCACUCCUCACUCCUCACUUAAUUUUGGUGGAGAUCACCUCAAAUCCAUUAGAAUUUUAUAAAUUAGAAUAUUAUAGUAAAAUGUUUAUAAUGGGUGUCUAUACUUCAGCUGUUUCCAUAAUUUUUUAGUAAAAAUGCCAACAAAACUCCAAAUAUUUUUAGCUUCAAGGAUUAGUUUGUUUUCCACAAGAAUGAAUCACAUCUAAAUUUUAUUCAUCUCAGUUUGUUACAAAGCAGUAAGUACUUGAGAGUUGACCCAAUAUAUACCUCUACAGAAAUUGCUUCAAUUCUAAAUUUUAAGAACACUUAAUUGCACUCUUAAGAAAAGAAACCCACCCACUAAGAACAUGCUAUACACUAACUACAUAAACCAACCAUAGUAGCCAAGAUCUUGCUGUUUAUACCGACUUCAAACCAGUUUCAAUCCAUUAGAUAGAAAUGCUGUUGGGGAUUCCACGACCGGUAACCCCUGGACCUGAAGAGGGAAGGAGCAAUUCAUAAGGGGGAAUUCCUGCACCAGUUCUGUUUUUAAGACUGAUAUCCUUGUUUCUCAUAUUUAUUGUCCGCUCUAUCUCCUCUAAUCGAGCCGAGAAUCUAUUGAACAUUUCUAGUAUUUCAUGAUCAUUUAUCCAAUGGCUAUGUAGCUGGUUCACCUGACCCAAGUACUCUUCAUCUGGGGAAUGAGUCGACAGUGUGUCUUGCACGGCCAUCACUUUGGUGGCUUGAAGUUGAGUUGGCAAAGAUGAGAGAAAAGUAUGCUGGGGGUUCAGCAUAAACUUCUCAUAAUCAGGCUCGUCCUCUUGGGGGAUGAGUUUUCUCAUUAGAGUAGGUCGAUUAGGCACAUACCCACCAAAAGGAUACUGCCCAAAAUUUAUGGCUGCGUGUUGACCUGAUGCAAUCCAGAUCAUUAUAGUUAGUAUGCCAGAUAAGUCCUCUUUGGUAUCGAGUUUAGGCCACCAUGGUUCAUUCCUUUUGUCAUAAUGGCCUUUGUUCUUGAUUUCAUCCCACCAGGCUUGGAGCUCAAUGUCAGAUGUGACAGAAUUAGGUUCAGAGUAGAAGUGAUUGACAUAAGAUUCUACCCAAUCUUUGAUGGCUGACCAGAUGAGGAGGCCGUCUGAAGCAUAAGGGUAGUCCUCAAUCACAAGUCUCACACCACAGGGCAUUGAAGGAUCCUCCACUGCCAUGCCCCUGCGAAUAAGAUCUGCAGGCAAAGCCUCCAUGUCAAACCGCCACAUACUCUUGUAUGCUGCAGAGCUAAUCUCCAUGGCAUACUUUCCAGGACUGAAUGAAGCCUCAAUUAUUCCUCCUCCAUUUAUCAAACUUUGCCGUGCAAGUGCAUUAAUUUCUAGUGUAUAUCGCAUAUGAGGAUGAAGCAGCUUGUAAAUUGGAUGCAUUGCACUGAGCUGUCUAUGAGUUGCAAUUAUAUAAGGCUCCAUGCAAGCAUGAGUCCUCAACCAGUGAUUUACUAGUUGAUGGACCCCAGCAUCAUUGGAGCAGACAUGAGCUUUGGCUAGCUUCCAAAUCCAAUGUGUUGUAGCAUCAUGCCCAUGAGUGUAAACAUGUUUAUUGCGAGGUGAAGAACGUGUAGGAGGAAGUGAAAGCUCAAUAGCUACUGGCCUCAGCAUACCAGCUCGGUUAUAGAAGAAAACCGUCCUUGAGGCGUAAGCUUUUCUCCCUGGCAAGGAGUUCAUCUUGUUCAUAAACGGCAAAAGCAUGUCAUGGAAAUCAAGUAUAAACAGCCUGUUCUCCUCAAUUGCCUUUUCUACGCUCAUUCCAUUGAGUUCAUGCUCUAUUAACUCCUUGGUGAGUGCUGAUUCUGGAGGGCCAUAUACAGCAGGGUCUAGUUUACUGAGAAUUGGAAAUUCCUGUAAAACAGAAUCCAACCCAAUGACUCAAAAAGCAGAAUUGGCAAGAGGGCAACCUUUUAAACAACAGCAAGGACAGAAUAUGAUUUUUAACAUUACCUUCAAAAUCUCAAUGUUCACUGGAUUGACCCCGGCCAAAGUCUGGCGAGCAAACUCAUUAUCGCGCAACCAAGCAAAUCUAUCCCCUGCACAUAUAUAUAUGUACAUAUAAAUUACACAAGAUAUAAUCUAUUGGCCACUUUUUAGCAAGCAUAAGGGAAUGUAGUUUGAGACUUGAAAAAGCUAUUGUAAUGUAGUUGAAAAACGUGAACCCAUUGUACGCUAUGAAUGAAGCAACGGAGGAAGAACGAAAAUACAUACGUUUUAUGAUAGCUGGGAUUUCAUAUUUCAAUAACCUUUCGCCAACGCUAAUAACCUGUUUCAUAACAUUACCCAACGCAGGAUGAACUAAUUUAUGUUCUUCGGUUCUUAAGAGAAGACCAUCAUUGUAUAGCUUAUCAAUAUCAGAGAAACAUUUGAAGGGAAUAUCUGAACUUGACAAUGCAGCAGCAAUAGAUGGAAUGAGAUUGUGAAGCAGAGCUUUCAACCUUCCAGCAGAGAAAGUGCUCUGCUUGAUCUCCUCGAAAGUUUCAUCCCGAGGAACAUACACUGGGUGUGGCUUUUCAAUUCUACUCUCAGAUCGAGGAUCUGUCUUGGUUGGAGGUCCGCCAGUUCUACAGCGCCUAGGAUAAGGCAAAUCCUUACUACCACCAAUGACAGGCCUAGCAAGAUCUUCAUCCUUGUCAGGAUUGCCCAGAUCAUUAUAUGUAGCAUAAUCAUAAAUUCUAUCAUGACGCUUUCUCUCGCCUUUCCCAUUGCCGCGAAUGCUAAGCAAGUCUUCACGCCGUAGAUCUUUAAUACCAGGAGGUGUCUGGGAUGGUAGGUAAGCUUGAUUUCUGAAGAUAAUUCUGCUUUCAGGAUUGUCUUUUUGGGAAUGAAUCCAGGUAUUUGCAGAGAAGAAAAAGGGACCUCCACCGAAACCAUGAAUUACAAUCUCCACCAAGUAGAACUUCUUGCCAUGAAGAUUGGUAAUAAGAACAGCUCCAGGAUUGCCAAAGUCGCAAGGAACGGUGAAGUCAGCUGCAUACUCAACAAUAUGAACAUGGUUUGAUGGCUUUGGCAACCAGCCUCUCACCGAAGACUGCACGCUCUUUCCUGAGUUGGUCUCAGGGUCAAUCUCCUCACUGAUAAGUUGAAUCAAGAUCCCUUGACCAAUCCCAUUCAAAAAAUACUCCCACUGAUCUUCAAUCUUCUCAUUGAUCUUCUCUUUCAUCUUCUUCCUUAUAGUGAUCACAGCCCUCACAUCAAUCUCUCUUCCUCUUUUCUUAUCAGAGGAAGACAACACUGACCGCUCACUUACCUCCUUAUUAGACUUAGCAGACUCAACAGCCUUGUCAUCACUGCUUAUUACUGCCCGGAUUGACCCAGAACCAUUAACUCGUGACACCGGCACUCGGGUCCUCUUCUGCCGAACCUCAUGCUUUACAGCACCCGUCACCGCCGCUAAUCGACGGAGAACGGCCUCUGACUUCAAAGGAGAUAAUUGUUGCACUGCAUACAUCUCUCUCUAUGUUUCAAAAAGAAAAGCUAGUAACUUUCCAAGGCAAAAACGAUGUCGUUGACCAACUAUCGCAGCCGUGCAACUCAGACAGCGGAGUAGAGCUCACUACUUUCUCUGCGAGGAGGAGAAGUAAACUGCGAGACAGGUUGAUAAAGACAGCGAGCUACUUUUAAUGACAGGGGAGAUUGAAAACACCACUCUCGUUCGGCGGCACGUGACGGGGACACGC
rnacentral:misc_RNA from 1 species